rnacentral:rRNA from 1 species
AUACGUAGGGGGCAAGCGUUAUCCGGAAUUAUUGGGCGUAAAGCGCGCGCAGGUGGUUCCUUAAGUCUGAUGUGAAAGCCCCCGGCUCAACCGGGGAGGGUCAUUGGAAACUGGGGAACUUGAGUGCAGAAGAGGAUAGUGGAAUUCCAAGUGUAGCGGUGAAAUGCGUAGAGAUUUGGAGGAACACCAGUGGCGAAGGCGACUGUCUGGUCUGUAACUGACACUGAGGCGCGAAAGCGUGGGGAGCAAACAGGAUUAGAUACCCUGGUAGUCCACGCCGUAAACGAUGAGUGCUAAGUGUUGGGGGGUUUCCGCCCCUCAGUGCUGCAGCUAACGCAUUAAGCACUCCGCCUGGGGAGUACGGUCGCAAGACUGAAACUCAAAUGAAUUGACGGGG